rnacentral:rRNA from 1 species
ACGAACGCUGGCGGCGUGCUUCACCCCUGCAAGUCGAACGGUGAAGCGCCUUCCUUUUUGGUGGGUGUGGAUGAGUGGCGAACGGGUGAGUAACACGUGAGUAACCUGCCCCCUUCUUCUGGAUAACCGCAUGAAAGUGUGGCUAAUACGGGAUAUUCUGGGUCUGUCGCAUGAUGGGUCUGGGAAAGAUAUUGUUUCGGUGGGGGAUGGGCUCGCGGCCUAUCAGCUUGUUGGUGGGGUGAUGGCCUACCAAGGCGGUGACGGGUAGCCGGCCUGAGAGGGUGGACGGUCACACUGGGACUGAGACACGGCCCAGACUCCUACGGGAGGCAGCAGUGGGGAAUAUUGCACAAUGGGCGCAAGCCUGAUGCAGCGACGCCGCGUGAGGGAUGGAGGCCUUCGGGUUGUGAACCUCUUUCGCCAGUGAAGCAGGCCUGCCUUGUUUGUGGGGGGGUUGACGGUAGCUGGAUAAGAAGCGCCGGCUAACUACGUG